AUUGCAGGCUGCAACCCGCCUGCAUGAAGUCGGAAUCGCUAGUAAUCGCGAGUCAGCAUAUCGCGGUGAAUACGUUCCCGGGUCUUGUACACACCGCCCGUCACACCAUGGGAGUUGGCAACACCCGAAGUCGAUGAGCUAACCGUAAGGAGGCAGUCGCCUAAGGUGGGGUUGAUAACUGGGGUGAAGUCGUAACAAGGUAGC
rnacentral:rRNA from 1 species